AUAGGAACCAGAGUGUUGGAGAGACCACCCUCCAGGCCCCAUUAGACUCCAUUGUAGUCUCUAAUGGGGCAUGGAGGAGAUUCUUUCUAACACACUCUCUAAAGGACACUGAGAUAGCCUCUGCUAGAAAUCCCCUCCAUGGCCCAUUAGCCCUCAAUUGUAGUCUCUACUGGGGCCUCGAAGGGCUUAUUGCCCUUUUGUUCCUUGUGUCUAAAGAUUGUGUAGGGUGUGGCUGGAGGCGGUGCAUGGAGGCGGGGCAAGGGUGGCGCUUGCUGCAGAGUAUGGGUGGGGCCUGUAAGGGGGCCCUUGAUUUAUUUUUCCCGGGGGCCCUGAGGGUUCUCAG